rnacentral:rRNA from 1 species
AUUGAACGCUGGCGGAAUGCUUUACACAUGCAAGUCGAACGGCAGCACGGACUUCGGUCUGGUGGCGAGUGGCGAACGGGUGAGUAAUGUAUCGGAACGUGCCCAGUCGUGGGGGAUAACGUAGUGAAAAUUACGCUAAUACCGCAUACGAUCUAUGGAUGAAAGCGGGGGAUCGCAAGACCUCGCGCGAUUGGAGCGGCCGAUAUCAGAUUAGGUAGUUGGUGGGGUAAAGGCCCACCAAGCCAGCGAUCUGUAGCUGGUCUGAGAGGACGACCAGCCACACUGGAACUGAGACACGGUCCAGACUCCUACGGGAGGCGGCAGUGGGGAAUUUUGGACAAUGGGCGAAAGCCUGAUCCAGCUAUUCCGCGUGCAGGAUGAAGGCCCUCGGGUUGUAAACUGCUUUUGUACAGAACAAAAAGGUUUCUACUAGUACUAGGAGCUCAUGACGGUACUGUAAGAAUAAGCACCGGCUAACUACGUGCCAGCCGCCGCCGUAA